UGGGGAAUAUUGGACAAUGGGCGAAAGCCUGAUCCAGCCAUGCCGCGUGUGUGAAGAAGGUCUUCGGAUUGUAAAGCACUUUAAGUUGGGAGGAAGGGCAGUAAGCGAAUACCUUGCUGUUUUGACGUUACCGACAGAAUAAGCACCGGCUAACUCUGUGCCAGCAGCCGCGGUAAUACAGAGGGUGCAAGCGUUAAUCGGAAUUACUGGGCGUAAAGCGCGCGUAGGUGGUUCGUUAAGUUGAAUGUGAAAGCCCCGGGCUCAACCUGGGAACUGCAUGCAAAACUGGCGGGCUAGAGUAGGGCAGAGGGGGGUGGAAUUUCCUGUGUAGCGGUGAAAUGCGUAGAUAUAGGAAGGAACACCAGUGGCGAAGGCGACCACCUGGGCUCAUACUGACACUGAGGUGCGAAAGCGUGGGGAGCAAACAGG
rnacentral:rRNA from 1 species